rnacentral:rRNA from 1 species
GAUGAACGCUGGCGGCGUGCUUAACACAUGCAAGUCGAACGAUGAUGCCCAGCUUGCUGGGUGGAUUAGUGGCGAACGGGUGAGUAACACGUGAGUAACCUGCCCUUGACUCUGGGAUAAGCCUGGGAAACUGGGUCUAAUACCGGAUACGACCAUCUGGCGCAUGUCAUGGUGGUGGAAAGCUUUUGUGGUUUUGGAUGGACUCGCGGCCUAUCAGCUUGUUGGUGGGGUAAUGGCCUACCAAGGCGACGACGGGUAGCCGGCCUGAGAGGGUGACCGGCCACACUGGGACUGAGACACGGCCCAGACUCCUACGGGAGGCAGCAGUGGGGAAUAUUGCACAAUGGGCGCAAGCCUGAUGCAGCGACGCCGCGUGAGGGAUGACGGCCUUCGGGUUGUAAACCUCUUUCAGUAGGGAAGAAGCGAAAGUGACGGUACCUGCAGAAGAAGCGCCGGCUAACUACGU